GGGGUUAUAGGAUCACAGAAGACAGAGUGGGCAAGAAGAAGUGUAUGUCACUCUGGACAGACUUCUAAAGGUAGGUCUCUGCCAAUCAACUAAAGGCCUUAAGAACAAAAACUGGGAUUACCCAGGGAAGAAGAAAUUCUGCCUCAAAAUUUAACAUAGAAAUCCUGCCUACAUUCCUGUCUGCUGGCCUGCCCUACAGAUUUUGGACUUCUUAUCCCCAGCAGUCAUACCACAGAAUAAGUCAAGAACUCCAGCAGGCUUGGAAAUUGUGCCUAUCUUCUGAAAUGCUCCAUUCUCUGCAUCAUGGGGCCUCUGUGAAAACAGGCUCUUACCUAGCAGAAAAUCAAUACCGCACACUGGAGGGGAGGAUGGAGAGUUAAAGCGUCCUCUUCACAUGGGUGAGUAAACACCACCUCCGUGCUUGGGAUGGCGCAGCACAGAACUGCAGGCUGUAAGGCAGGCUCCAAAUAAAACCCUUCCCCAGCACAGGGCACUCAGCCCCAGAGCUGGCAUAGCGGAGCCCUUCGCCUCAUAUAAUUUCACUUUUGUGCAACUGCAGAUCUGUGUGCGCCUGCAAAAUUGCAUAAUUUACCAUUUACCCAGCUGUUAUUCCAGCAAACCUAUUGUUUGCACACCGAUUUGCCUGCCUGACUAAUAAAUCCACAGGAAGGGAGGGGAGAGAGAGGGAAAGUUCUCAGCAUCACACCGUGUUCUCAGUGU